rnacentral:tRNA from 1 species
GAUCCAGUGGAGACGCAGUGGGGCCUGUAGCUCAGAGGAUUAGAGCACGUGGCUACGAACCACGGUGUCGGGGGUUCGAAUCCCUCCUCGCCCAU